UCAACCCAUUAUUUUAGUUCUUCUUGGGGAAGUGCCAAGAGGAGCCUCCUAGGAAUCAGAUGGGCUGGAGCAGCUUGAGUAGCAGCUAUUCCAACCAGUAAGACCGAAACAAGAAGUUACAGGUGUACUAAUACUACUGAUGAUGUAGAGCCACAAGAAUUGCCUUGCAAGAUCCACUGAUUACUAGUCCAGCAUGCCAUGAUCCAGAGGAGCAAUCACAUCCAGUCUUUUCCUUUCAGAAGGUGCCCCUAAAGAAUCCCUAAACUUGUUUUAAACUCUCUUGCAUUCAGAAAGCAAUUUGAUUCAACCACUUUUUAAAAAGGAAAAUCCCACUGGUAUGGGAAAAAUGCCAUCUCCAUGAUAAACUCUAGGAGGCAGACUGUCUACAGUUAGUCCCUCUGAUUCUUCCUAGUGAUUGGCAGAACUAAGGAUUUCCUUUAAACAAAGUGAUGUGCCAACAAAAUGCUAAUAUGAACCCAAAAUGUAAGUUGCAAGUGUUUCAGCCCUUAACCUAAACAGAACAGGCGCACAAGUAAUGAUGCUCUGCUACCCACCAGUCACACAACACAUACUGAUGAAACUACGUACUGCUAUAGAUGAGUUUACCGACUUCCUUUCUGCCACCGCCACCCCAUAACCACCUAUCAAGAUAGAAGAUCCUGCAGAACAUGGUGGAACUGCAGCUCUUCUAUAAUGAGGACAACCCAACCCAGUGCAGGGUUGGUUUUUCUUUGAGAAACCCAGUGGGAUUACCUCAGUCGAAAUGUCAAAGUUCUAGUCUGCUAUCAAAAUAAGUGCGGCGUCAUGUUAUCCUUUUAAGAAAGCUACUGUUUUAAAGGCGCAAGCCCUUCUUUUAUGCAGUGAUGGGAAGAUUUCAAGAGAAAUCGCUGUAAUGGCUGAGAGGUUACUUUUCAUAUCAGCAUAUCAAACCUAGAGGCAUGCCAGCUCAGCCACAGAAAGAUCUAUCACCAGAGACACAGAGGAACUGUUUGCAACUGAUGAGUGCACCUGAAUCCCAUUAACAGGCACAAAAUCUCAGCAAGAUAAUCCUCCACUGAAGGGGAAUCCAGUGUUCUCAAGCACAGUGAGUCGUCUGAAGACACAUGAUGUGGUUCUACCAAUGAAGCUAAGCUGGUUUGGCCAGACCCUGGAGGGGAGAAUUCCUGGGAACCAAAUCCCAGAGGGAUAGUGUAUUAAUCUGUUGGAGCAAAUAUAACAAAGAGUCUUCUAGGACAUUAAAGACUAACAAAUACAUUGUCCAGUGGCAGCACCAGAAAAAAACUUGAGGGGAGGGCACAGAAAGGGCAAAGGGCAAUUCUGGGUGGGCAAGCUGUGUCCCACAUGUUAGAUUUCUGAAACAUAAAUGCAGAGGGGGGCAGUUGAGGGGGGCAACUACUUUUCUGAGGAGACACUUGCCCACCAUAGCUACUUCCAAAGCUACAUUAGCGUCCUGCUCUAGCUACAUUAGCAUUCAGAGCGACAUAUAUCUAGAAGUACAGGAUGCAAGAAUCCUUAGUUUUAAAUCUCAGAGUGUAUUAUAAGAAGGAAGGAAGGAAAGGUAAGAAAGUAAGUGUGAAGUUUGUCAGGUCACAGAACACUGUUAGCAAGUCAGAAAGAUUUUAGCAGCUGAUCUCUGCAGUGAGGUAGGGGACUUUCUUCCAUGUACUGUCUAAAAUACUGGAAACGAAAUCACUCCGCUGAUAAUUAGCCUCUGAAGCAAGACAGCUUCAUUACAAAUAUGAUUAACUUAUAAUAAAAUGCUCUGAGUUAAUUAAAAUCUUAUUAGCUCUAAUUGUUUUGCAGUUCAAAUUCAGAUGACAGUUUAGGAAACAGAGGCAAGGUGCCUACCCAGUAUUCUUUUACCAUGUAGAACAACAUUUACAUUUUCCCAGUUCAAAAACUGCUGAUGUCUCAUAUGUGUAAGAGUUUGCACAGCUAUUAGUAAUCAUUGUUGAAAAACAAAGCAGACAUUUACAAGGACAAAAAGACCUAGUUUCAUCACAUUUAAAAGCUUUUCAGGCAAGUGGAUUUUAAAAAAUAGAGAAAGGAAGAGAAGAGAAACAGACAAUUCAGAUCUAUUCCUGCUGUUUUAAAAAAACAACCUACAGCUCUGCCAAAUGCUUUGUGAUUUCAAGCUUCAUAUAUGAUAUAUUGUUUUUACAUCAGUAGCUAUAGAAACAGUCAAUUACUGGACACUUUGUUAUAAAUGCACACAGACAUCCACUUGCUAAGCAACUAAUAACUGCCCAGGACCAUCACCGAAGUUUGAUUAAGUCCAUCUGGACAAAGCUAUAAGAAUGCACAGGUCAUAUAACAAAACAUAGUCUUCAGCUCCCAGAGGAGCUGAUUAUCUCUCUGUCUAAUAGCUAGCUAGUUCUCACCAUUCUUUCUCAGAGCAUAUACAAGAAAUAGAAAGAAAGCAAGAAAUAGAAAGAAGGUUUUUGGGGGGAGUGAAUGUGUAUCUGAUGGAUUGCCUCCUCCCCACCCUGGGUACCUUGCUUUGAUAUGGGAGUGCGGGCGGGGGGGGGAGUUUCUGACAUGCCCCACAAACUAGGAGCAGGCUUUGGGAGACAAGAAAGGGAAGCAAUGACUCAGAGGCAGUUCUCAGGUUCCAGUGAUGUGGCAAUGCAUUUCUGAUGCUUCACCUCCACCACAACAUAAAGCUGGUCCAGGCAAGGAAAGGAGGCAAUGCAGGAGAAGCUGCUGCAGCUGCUGCCACCAUACCCACAGGCCAUUUCCCAAAGCCUUUCUUGCUUCCCUUCCCAACCUCAGCAACCCAAGCAGAGAGAGGAGCCGAGGUCAAAAUCAACAUGACAUGAGAGUUCUGUGAUUCAAAGUUAUUUCUCUUGUUUUAAAAGCAGACAUGAGGGACCUGAUUUGGACUGGGAUUGGGUGGGAGAUGAUUGUUUUUAUUUAACUCUUCACCCACUUACUGAUUCCCUGACUUAAAUCCGAGAAGCUGGUAUAAGUCAUGGAGGGGAACAUUUCCAGCAUAAUGUUUGUGUCUGUGAAUGUUUCCCUCUGUGAAUAAUAGCAGCUUUGGGGAGUGAUUGGGCAGGGCCGCGGCAGGGGUGAAAGAGUUAGAUCCCCACUCCCACCCCGCCACCAUAGCACAGCCCUGAUGCAAAUCAGCACCCACCCCCAGUAGUUUUCUGAAAAAGAAAAAAAUAGGGGGAAUUCCAAAUAUGAAACUCCUAUGUCAUUUCUUGUUUGGUCCUCCCAUCCAUGCAUUCAAGGGAGUCUGUGGACUCAGGCAAUUCAAGGGAGUCUGUGGACUCAGGCAGAAAGGCAGUGCACAUGGUCAAUAACUGGGUAGGGCUAGUGGGCUACCCAGUUUCAUGAGCGGUUUGUACUCCCGAUUCUUUAUCGUCUGCAAAGGUAAAACAAGAGAAGAGGCGCCAGCAGAGAUUGUGUGCUAAGCAGCAGCUGCAUAGGAGUGCUCUGUCCUACCCAGAAGCUAAAUGAGGUAGGAGGGAAAGCCCUCAUAUGCUGCUUAGCACAUGAUCUCUGCUGGUGCCUCCUAUCUUGUGUUUCCGACACAGAUGAUCAAAAAUCGUCUGUCUCCAAUGCUUUCUAACAUCUACAUGAAACUGCUGGGUGAGAGCAUCAGGGGAUUUGGAGCAGGGUGUUAUCGAAAUGCCAAUGACACCCAGAUCUAUUUCUCUAUGACAUUAUCAUCAGGAAAUGGCAUAACCCCCUAAAUGCCUGCCUAUCGGCAGUAAUGGACUGGAUGAGGGAUAAUAAAUUGAAGUUGAACCCAGCAGGACUCAGGGUAAGGGGGUCAUAUUUUGAGGGACAUGAUAGAUCUCCGUGUUCUGGAUGGGUUUGCACUGCCCCCGAAGGACAGGUACAUAACUUGAGAGUGCUUCUGGACCCAGGUCUCACUCUGGCUUCUCAGGUUGAGGCUAUGACCAGGAGCGCUUUCUAUCAACUCUGGUUGAUACAACAGCUUUGUCCGUUCCUGGAAGAUAGUGAUCUCAGAACUCUAGUGCACUCUCUGGUAACGUCUAGGCUUGACUACUGCAGUGCACUCUAUGGAGGGCUGACUUUGUAUGAAAACAUCAGUUAGUUUAAAAAUGCAGCAGCUAGAAUGGUCUCCAGGGUGUCUUAGAGAGACCAUAUCAUGCCUGUUUAAAAGUAAUUGCAUUGGCUGCCAAUAGGUUUCCAGGCAAAAUACAAAGUGCUGGUGAUUGCCUUUAAAGCCCUAAGCCACUUAGGACCGGGUUACCUAAGAGAGCACCUUCUUCUACAUGAUCCCUGCUUGUAUUUUAUAGAUUUUAAAUUUGGUUUGUUUUUAUAUUUUUAGCUUAAUACUUUUAUUGUCAUUUUAUUGUAUGUUUUUUUUAACUUUUGUAAACCGCCUUGUGAUUGUUUUUUAAUGAAAGGUGGUAUAUAUAUGCAACAAUAAAUAAAUAAAUAAAAUAAAAAUCCCCACCGCACAUUAAGGUCAUUGAGAGAGGUUUUUCUCUAUAUGCUCAUCUGGCGGAGACUCAGGAGUGGGCCUUCUCUAGUCGCUCCUAGGCUGUGGAAUGCACUUCCUAUAGACAUUUGUAGUUUGCCUACCAAAAGAGCACUUAAGACGCAUUUUUUUCAGCCAGGCUGUUAGUAAUCUCUAAAUUUUUAAAUUGCUGUUUAUAACAGUUUGUUUUGUUUUGUUUUUCUUGUGUUUAUUUUUGUGAACUGCCUAGAGCCUUUGGAGUCAGGUGGU